rnacentral:rRNA from 1 species
GACGAACGCUGGUUGGCGUGCUUAACACAUGCAAGUCGAACGGAAAGGCCCUGCUUUUGUGGGGUGCUCGAGUGGCGAACGGGUGAGUAACACGUGAGUAACCUGCCCUUGACUUUGGGAUAACUUCAGGAAACUGGGGCUAAUACCGGAUAGGAGCUCCUGCUGCAUGGUGGGGGUUGGAAAGCUUCGGCGGUUGGGGAUGGACUCGCGGCUUAUCAGCUUGUUGGUGGGGUAGUGGCUUACCAAGGCUUUGACGGGUAGCCGGCCUGAGAGGGUGACCGGCCACAUUGGGACUGAGAUACGGCCCAGACUCCUACGGGAGGCAGCAGUGGGGAAUAUUGCACAAUGGGCGGAAGCCUGAUGCAGCAACGCCGCGUGCGGGAUGACGGCCUUCGGGUUGUAAACCGCUUUCGCCUGUGACGAAGCGUGAGUGACGGUAAUGGGUAAAGAAGCACCGGCUAACUACGUGCCAGCAGCCGCGGUGAUACGUAGGGUGCGAGCGUUGUCCGGAUUUAUUGGGCGUAAAGGGCUCGUAGGUGGUUGAUCGCGUCGGAAGUGUAAUCUUGGGGCUUAACCCUGAGCGUGCUUUCGAUACGGGUUGACUUGAGGAAGGUAGGGGAGAAUGGAAUUCCUGGUGGAGCGGUGGAAUGCGCAGAUAUCAGGAGGAACACCAGUGGCGAAGGCGGUUCUCUGGGCCUUUCCUGACGCUGAGGAGCGAAAGCGUGGGGAGCGAACAGGCUUAGAUACCCUGGUAGUCCACGCUGUAAACGGUGGGUACUAGGUGUGGGGUCCAUUCCACGGGUUCCGUGCCGUAGCUAACGCUUUAAGUACCCCGCCUGGGGAGUACGGCCGCAAGGCUAAAACUCAAAGGAAUUGACGGGGCCCCGCACAAGCGGCGGAGCAUGCGGAUUAAUUCGAUGCAACGCGUAGAACCUUACCUGGGUUUGACAUGGAUCGGGAGUGCUCAGAGAUGGGUGUGCCUCUUUUGGGGUCGGUUCACAGGUGGUGCAUGGCUGUCGUCAGCUCGUGUCGUGAGAUGUUGGGUUAAGUCCCGCAACGAGCGCAACCCUUGUUCACUGUUGCCAGCACGUUAUGGUGGGGACUCAGUGGAGACCGCCGGGGUCAACUCGGAGGAAGGUGGGGAUGACGUCAGGUCAUCAUGCCCCUUAUGUCCAGGGCUUCACGCAUGCUACAAUGGCUGGUACAGAGAGUGGCGAGCCUGUGAGGGUGAGCGAAUCUCGGAAAGCCGGUCUCAGUUCGGAUUGGGGUCUGCGACUCGACCUCAUGAAGUCGGAGUCGCUAGUAAUCGCAGAUCAGCAACGCUGCGGUGAAUACGUUCCCGGGGCU